AUGCCAUUGUUUGUUACAUGCUCUGUGGUCAUAAUAUUGUGCGUCAUGUAUGCGUGCGCAAAAACAGGAUAAUGCUCAGCAAUUUCUGCGACUUAAACCUCAAGAGGUUAGCGUCGCAGCGCUGAUUUUCAGCAUCUCCUUGGGUGACGUAAUGGCGUCCCGCCAGCUCCACUAAUCGCCAGCGAACAAGAAUGCAAAACAACAAAACAACGAAAAGAUCAAGUAGCCGGCAUGACCUGUAAAAUACAGAUAUACCUAUAUUGACCAUAAAUGAUGGGGGAGGCUGCAGCUACGAACAACAACCUGUUGGAUACCUGUGCAUCACCAUGUUGGAAGGCCGCGACCCUUGAGGCCUCGCAUUGGUGGUGGCAGGUUGUUCCAACAGUGAGUCGCAGCAUAUUUGAAGCUCCCCCUGAAGGCCGCUGUUCUGUGCUGAGGGAUGGAUAGUGGAUUUGUAGUUGAGCGUAUGUGGUUUAUUGAACUAUGCUGUCUCCACUGUAAUUUCUCAUACAGGUACCGUGGCUUUUGGGUAGUAAUAACUCCAAACAAUAGGCCUGCCAGGUGCAAACGUCUCCGAGCUUCCAUUUUUAAAAUAUUGUUUCGAUUCGCAAAAGGGGUGACAUGGCUUCUUCGUGGUAUGUCCACACAGUAUCUUAUGCAAGCAUUUUGAACACGCUGCACCAAUCUGUUUGUUUUUGCUAGCAA